rnacentral:rRNA from 1 species
GGUUAAGCGACUAAGCGUACACGGUGGAUGCCCUGGCAGUCAGAGGCGAUGAAGGACGUGCUAAUCUGCGAAAAGCGUCGGUAAGGUGAUAUGAACCGUUAUAACCGGCGAUGUCCGAAUGGGGAAACCCAGUGUGAUUCGUCACACUAUCGUUAACUGAAUACAUAGGUUAACGAGGCGAACCGGGGGAACUGAAACAUCUAAGUACCCCGAGGAAAAGAAAUCAACCGAGAUUCCCCCAGUAGCGGCGAGCGAACGGGGAGCAGCCCAGAGUCUGAAUCAGCUUGUGUGUUAGUGGAAUGGUCUGGAAAGUCCGACGGUACAGGGUGAUAGUCCCGUACACCAAAAUGCACAGGCUGUGAACUCGAAGAGUAGGGCGGGACACGUGGUAUCCUGUCUGAAUAUGGGGGGACCAUCCUCCAAGGCUAAAUACUCCUGACUGACCGAUAGUGAACCAGUACCGUGAGGGAAAGGCGAAAAGAACCCCGGCGAGGGGAGUGAAAAAGAACCUGAAACCGUGUACGUACAAGCAGUGGGAGCACCUUCGGGUGUGACUGCGUACCUUUUGUAUAAUGGGUCAGCGACUUAUAUUCUGUAGCAAGGUUAACCGUAUAGGGGAGCCGCAGGGAAACCGAGUCUUAACUGGGCGUUAAGUUGCAGGGUAUAGACCCGAAACCCGGUGAUCUAGCCAUGGGCAGGUUGAAGGUUGGGUAACACUAACUGGAGGACCGAACCGACUAAUGUUGAAAAAUUAGCGGAUGACUUGUGGCUGGGGGUGAAAGGCCAAUCAAACCGGGAGAUAGCUGGUUCUCCCCGAAAGCUAUUUAGGUAGCGCCUCGUGAAUUCAUCUUCGGGGGUAGAGCACUGUUUCGGCUAGGGGGUCAUCCCGACUUACCAACCCGAUGCAAACUACGAAUACCGAAGAAUGUUAUCACGGGAGACACACGGCGGGUGCUAACGUCCGUCGUGAAGAGGGAAACAACCCAGACCGCCAGCUAAGGUCCCAAAGUCAUGGUUAAGUGGGAAACGAUGUGGGAAGGCACAGACAGCCAGGAUGUUGGCUUAGAAGCAGCCAUCAUUUAAAGAAAGCGUAAUAGCUCACUGGUCGAGUCGGCCUGCGCGGAAGAUGUAACGGGGCUAAACCAUGCACCGAAGCUGCGGCAGCGACACUAUGUGUUGUUGGGUAGGGGAGCGUUCUGUAAGCCUGCGAAGGUGACCUGUGAGGGUUGCUGGAGGUAUCAGAAGUGCGAAUGCUGACAUAAGUAACGAUAAAGCGGGUGAAAAGCCCGCUCGCCGGAAGACCAAGGGUUCCUGUCCAACGUUAAUCGGGGCAGGGUGAGUCGACCCCUAAGGCGAGGCCGAAAGGCGUAGUCGAUGGGAAACAGGUUAAUAUUCCUGUACUUGGUGUUACUGCGAAGGGGGACGGAGAAGGCUAUGUUAGCCGGGCGACGGUUGUCCCGGUUUAAGCAUGUAGGCUGGUUGUCCAGGCAAAUCCGGAUAAUCAAGGCUGAGGUGUGAUGACGAGGCACUACGGUGCUGAAGUAACAAAUGCCCUGCUUCCAGGAAAAGCCUCUAAGCAUCAGGUAACAUUAAAUCGUACCCCAAACCGACACAGGUGGUCAGGUAGAGAAUACCAAGGCGCUUGAGAGAACUCGGGUGAAGGAACUAGGCAAAAUGGUGCCGUAACUUCGGGAGAAGGCACGCUGGUGUGUAGGUGAAGUCCCUGCGGAUGGAGCUGAGACCAGUCGAAGAUACCAGCUGGCUGCAACUGUUUAUUAAAAACACAGCACUGUGCAAACACGAAAGUGGACGUAUACGGUGUGACGCCUGCCCGGUGCCGGAAGGUUAAUUGAUGGGGUUAUCCGUAAGGAGAAGCUCUUGAUCGAAGCCCCGGUAAACGGCGGCCGUAACUAUAACGGUCCUAAGGUAGCGAAAUUCCUUGUCGGGUAAGUUCCGACCUGCACGAAUGGCGUAAUGAUGGCCAGGCUGUCUCCACCCGAGACUCAGUGAAAUUGAACUCGCUGUGAAGAUGCAGUGUACCCGCGGCAAGACGGAAAGACCCCGUGAACCUUUACUAUAGCUUGACACUGAACAUUGAGCCUUGAUGUGUAGGAUAGGUGGGAGGCUUUGAAGCGUGGACGCCAGUCUGCGUGGAGCCAACCUUGAAAUACCACCCUUUAAUGUUUGAUGUUCUAACGUUGGCCCCUUACCGGGGUUGCGGACAGUGUCUGGUGGGUAGUUUGACUGGGGCGGUCUCCUCCCAAAGCGUAACGGAGGAGCACGAAGGUUAGCUAAUCCUGGUCGGACAUCAGGAGGUUAGUGCAAUGGCAUAAGCUAGCUUGACUGCGAGCGUGACGGCGCGAGCAGGUGCGAAAGCAGGUCAUAGUGAUCCGGUGGUUCUGAAUGGAAGGGCCAUCGCUCAACGGAUAAAAGGUACUCCGGGGAUAACAGGCUGAUACCGCCCAAGAGUUCAUAUCGACGGCGGUGUUUGGCACCUCGAUGUCGGCUCAUCACAUCCUGGGGCUGAAGUAGGUCCCAAGGGUAUGGCUGUUCGCCAUUUAAAGUGGUACGCGAGCUGGGUUUAGAACGUCGUGAGACAGUUCGGUCCCUAUCUGCCGUGGGCGCUGGAGAAUUGAGGGGGGCUGCUCCUAGUACGAGAGGACCGGAGUGGACGCAUCACUGGUGUUCGGGUUGUCAUGCCAAUGGCACUGCCCGGUAGCUAAAUGCGGAAGAGAUAAGUGCUGAAAGCAUCUAAGCACGAAACUUGCCCCGAGAUGAGUUCUCCCUGAGACUUUAAGUCUCCUGAAGGAACGUUAAAGACGAUGACGUUGAUAGGCCGGGUGUGUAAGCGCAGCGAUGCGUUGAGCUAACCGGUACUAAUGAACCGUGAGGCUUAACCUU